AUAGCUCAGUGGCAGAGUGUGUGCUUAGCAUGCACGAGGUCCUGGGUUCGAUCCCCAGU
rnacentral:tRNA from 1 species